rnacentral:rRNA from 1 species
UAGGGAAUCUUCCGCAAUGGACGCAAGUCUGACGGAGCAACGCCGCGUGAGUGAAGAAGGAUUUCGGUUCGUAAAACUCUGUUGUUAGAGAAGAACAGCGCAUAGAGUAACUGUUAUGCGUGUGACGGUAUCUAACCAGAAAGCCACGGCUAACUACGUGCCAGCAGCCGCGGUAAUACGUAGGUGGCAAGCGUUGUCCGGAUUUAUUUGGCGUAAAGCGAGCGCAGGCGGUCAAUUAAGUCUGAUGUGAAAGCCCCCGGCUCAACCGGGGAGGGUCAUUGGAAACUGGUUGACUUGAGUGCAGAAGAGGAGAGUGGAAUUCCAUGUGUAGCGGUGAAAUGCGUAGAUAUAUGGAGGAACACCGGUGGCGAAAGCGGCUCUCUGGUCUGUAACUGACGCUGAGGCUCGAAAGCGUGGGGAGCGAACAGG